GUAGGUGGCAAGCGUUGUCCGGGAAUUAUUGGGGCGUAAAGCGCGCGCAGGCGGUUCUUUAAGUCUGAUGUGAAAAGCCCACGGGCUCAACCGUGGGAGGGUCAUUGGAAACUGGAGAACUUGAGCACAGAAGAGGAAAGCGGAAUUCCACGUGUAGCGGUGAAAUGCGUAGAGAUGUGGAGGAACACCAGUGGCGAAGGCGGCUUUCUGGUCUGUAACUGACGCUGAGGCGCGAAAGCGUGGGGAGCAAACAGGAUUAGAUACCCUGGUAGUCCACGCCGUAAACGAUGAGUGCUAAGUGUUAGGGGGUUUCCGCCCCUUAGUGCUGCAGCUAACGCAUUAAGCACUCCGCCUGGGGAGUACGGCCGCAAAGGCUGA
rnacentral:rRNA from 1 species